rnacentral:lncRNA from 1 species
UUUGUCAUUGCCUGGCUAUUUUUAGAAGCCACUGGCGUAUCUAGGAAACCAGAGUCUGUUGACUGUGUUUCUCCGGUGCGGGGAGUGUGAUUAUUUCCCAGAGACGCCAGAGGAAUGUGCGAGGUGGGGCUGGGGGAUGGCGACCUCUCCUCCCAGGGCAGUGCUCACGCUGCCCGCCCCAGGGCUUGCUUCUGCCCGGGGGAUUGAGUCCAGCCUCUGGGUGACAUUGCCCAGAAGGGACAUCAGCAGGGGGUGGCUGCUCCAGGUGGGAGGUCCUCUCUCCUCCCCACCGCGCUGCUCAGGGGGCGAGCUGGACAUUUCGUCCAGUGGCCUGGGAGCGCAGCUGUCCUUUGCUCCCCAUUCCCAAGGAGGAGGAGGAAACAGCAGGAAGAGGAGAUGGUGCUGCAACAACCUGAGCUCCUCUCGGGAGCCUGGAAAUGUUCCGCCUCUCCCUCCCUCCCGGGGAGGGGUGUCCUUCCAGGACUGCCAUGCAUUCAGGCUCUGCCCGUGGCCCCUACGCCGAGUCAGCGCAAGCCCUACCCGUCCAAAGGUGCCGUCUCAGGAGGGAGAGGUGCCAGCUUUCGCCAGGGACAGCGUCCAAUCUGGAGUAGGGCCACUUCAGUAAGGAACAAGAAGAGGCGCUUGGAAUAAAACCCAGACUCCUCACCACGGCCCUGGAGACCUUACCUGUGAGGGCCCUGCUUGCUCCCCCGGCCCCCCUCACUCCACCCCCCGGAGCUCAGUGCUGUAGCCCCUCUGGCCUUCCUUCUAUCCUCAGACACGCCAGCCUCAUGCCUGUCUCCGGGCGGUGCACCUGCUGCACCUCACAGGGUCGCCUGGUCUCACCAUUUACAUCUCAGGCCACCGGGCCUCCAUCCCUGAACCAAAAUUUGCCUUUAUGCCCCUGCCAUGUGCCUUUGUUUGAUCCCAUUACCCCAUUUUACUUUAUUCAUAAAAUCUGUCAUUUCUCAUACU